AACGCAAAUGGCGCUUCCUGGUAUCCCGGGGAGCAUGCCUGUUUGAGAACCGUAAGGCAAGUCACCGGAACCAGUUCCGGUGGAGUUGGACGCACAGGUCGAUGGGGAUUAGGUGUCCUUUUUCGGCUCGUGGUCCGCAAAGCUUCUCCCAUAUCAUCUUUUUACCCCGGGAGAGUCUCAUCUUUCGGGGAAGUGUGUGGGCCGGGGAAGAGAAGACUGGAAGACAACCCCGGGUGUGCUUCCGAAAGGCUAGAUAACACGGUAUCGCUGGGGGGAGGUGAAAGGGAGGAGGGAUUUCCCCAUCCUUUCCGGAACCUAUCCACCUAUAAAUACGGUACACAUUAGCCGACGACCAGAGGAAGGCCCCGUUGGUGUUUGUGUCUGGUGCUGCUCUAGAGAAGGGGGUGUGAAGGCCCACAGGUCGUGGUCUCAAAUCAGGCAAGAGAACCCGCUGAACUUAA
rnacentral:misc_RNA from 1 species